rnacentral:snoRNA from 1 species
AACCCAUGAUGAGGACACCUUUUCAAAAGAUCCUUAACUCUCUCUCAUGUAUUAUAUAGUGUCUCAAGCUCACAUUGAGAGAAGAAGAGAUAUUAUUCCUCAACUU